rnacentral:sRNA from 1 species
UCUUAUGGUGAACAGUGAUUCAGGCAAGACCCAAGUAUAUGGUCUAUAAUACUUGCUAAUUAUAUUGCAAGGGACACAAGAAGACUAGAUGUAACAUUUGAUGUGGCACACUCACAUGCCAGAUUUUUAGGCAACUUGGUGCUGAAUCUCAGAGAUUGUGGAGGGGUAGAUCGUGAUGGUCAAUUUUCUAAGGUUUCCACUGGAUUAACUACAGCUCACUCAGUCCCUGUCACUCCCACCCACAACCCUAAUGAUAGCUUGGAUAUUGGCCGUAGAACAGGAUCAUAGUGAGGUUUCUUACGGGGCUUAUUUGGCUGUCUCGGACCCAUAUGGACAAUGCUUAGCAUGGCAGCUGCUGCAGAGUUAAAACAGCAAGGGCACAACAUAAUGAGGCAACACUUAUUCUGGAUGUUGAAACAUGCCUUGUGGAGUUCCUCCAAAGAACACAUCGUGAGGCCCAAACAAAAUACUAGCCCCCAACAGUCUUUAAGAAUAAAGAUUGUAUGGAAAGCUGCCUGAUCUGAAAAGAAUGGAGUUCA